CGUAGGGGGCUAGCGUUGUCCGGAAUCAUUGGGCGUAAAGCGCGCGUAGGCGGCCCGGUAAGUCCGCUGUAAAAGUCAAAGGCUCAACCUUUGAAUGUCAGUGGAUACUGCCGGGCUAGAGUCCGGAAGAGGCGAGUGGAACUCCUGGUGUAGCGGUGGAAUGCGCAGAUAUCAGGAAGAACACCGACGGCGAAGGCAGCUCGCUGGGACGGUACUGACGCUGAGGCGCGAAAGCGUGGGGAGCGAACAGGAUUAGAUACCCUGGUAGUCCACGCCGUAAACGAUGGGCACUAGGUGUGGGAGGUGUCGACUCCUCCCGUGCCGGCGCUAACGCAUUAAGUGCCCCGCCUGGGGAGUACGGCCGCAAGGCUA
rnacentral:rRNA from 1 species